GUGGGGAAUAUUGGACAAUGGGCGAAAGCCUGAUCCAGCCAUGCCGCGUGAGUGAUGAAGGCCUUCGGGUUGUAAAGCUCUUUAGCCGAUGAUUAUAAUGACUGUAGUCGGAAAAUAAGCCCCGGCUAACUUCGUGCCAGCAGCCGCGGUAAUACGAAGGGGGCGAGCGUUAUUCGGAAUCACUGGGCGUAAAGCGUGCGUAGGCGGCUUUGCAAGUUGGGAGUGAAAGCCCAGGGCUCAACCCUGGAAUUGCUCUCAAAACUGCAAGGCUCGAAUUCGGGAGAGGAUAGCGGAAUUGUCAGUGUAGCAGUGAAAUGCGUAGAUAUUGACAGGAACACCAGUGGCGUAAGCGGCUAUCUGGACCGAUAUUGACGCUGAGGCACGAAAGCGUGGGGAUCAAACAGGAUUAGAAACCCUGGUAGUCC
rnacentral:rRNA from 1 species